rnacentral:rRNA from 1 species
UACGGAGGGUGCGAGCGUUGUCCGGAAUCACUGGGCGUAAAGGGCGCGUAGGCGGCCUGAUAAGUAGGGGUGAAAUCCUGCGGCUUAACCGCAGGGCUGCCUUCUAAACUGUCGGGCUCGAGCACAGUAGAGGCAGGUGGAAUUCCCGGUGUAGCGGUGGAAUGCGUAGAGAUCGGGAAGAACAUCAGUGGCGAAGGCGGCCUGCUGGGCUGUUGCUGACGCUGAGGCGCGACAGCGUGGGGAGCAAACAGG